rnacentral:lncRNA from 1 species
AGUCUUGGCCGAGCUACGGGGGCCAGAACGUCACAGCGGCCGUGGGGGAUGGAGAGGCUCCACAUAAUGGGAGUGGAUUAUUUGGGAACAAGGAACCAGGGAUCAGCAGCGCCUUGUGUGUGCUGGAAGACCAGAACUGGGUCAUCCAAGGGGGAGGUGGCUGAGGACUCAAAGCCCUUGCCUGUUUGGAUCUCCACCAAACUAGGACUCCAUUUGACAGCUCUGCUCUGCCUCGUGUCUCCCCACAGCGCAUUAGCCCUGCCUCUGCCAGGACACUGAGAAUGGGUCCACAGGCUUCUCCAAGCCACCAAAGAGGUCCGGGACCUAAAAAAGGUGAAGAAUUUCUGCUCUAGAGAGAGUAAAGAGAACCUGAUUUUAAGAUCACAAGCCCCCCCCCCCCCCCCCAGCUCUGACGCUUACUAACUAUCCAACUUUGGGUGACUCACUCCAUCUGGCUGCCUUGGCUUCAUCUGUAAAAUGGGAGCAUUUAUUGCCUAGCACCUCUCUGGAAGGAUUGUCCCAGAAGAGAGCUUCGGCAGUGAGGAAGGGCUCAGGAAGCCGUUUGCCAUCGUGAUUGUGGUUCUAGUUGGGGGGAGGGGGCUGGCCCUCAGGCAGCCGGCCGCCUCGGCUCGACCCGUGGGAGAUCCCGGCGACCUUACUCAGGAGAGAUCAAGGUCUUUGCUGGCUGCCUUCUCUUCCUCCUCGGGCCAUUUUGAACCUCCUGGAGAUGGUGUCUGGGAGGGGCGGCCUUGGACAAAGAUUGGGGGAGGGAAGCAGUUCCCCAGCCUACAAUGGGCGGAGGAUUUUUGGAGGGGGGGCGGGCCCAGGGGGACUUCCUGAAAAUGGGGUUUAGCAAUUCAAAGGGGGCCUUUGGCCCUGGGAGUGGUGUCCGUCACGGCUCUGGGGCCCGGGAUCAGGGGGGCCAGGGGCGGACAAUGCCCCAUUGUCUGAAGGAGGUGGGAAAGUAGAGGGUCUCAGAGGGCCGACGGCUCACCAGCGGUUCCGCUAGUCAAGCGCCCGUUCCACAUGAUUCCACUCUGGACAGGGCCCGUAUAAUCCCCUCCCGCCGCCUCACUGUGACAACCUGAAGGAGAAUUCCAAUCCUGAGUGACAGCAGACAGAGGACUGACAAGGGAGAGAGGCUGGCGGGAGGGAGCGGGGCGCAGUGUGAGAGCUGCUCUGGUCUGGCCAGUGGGGCUCACCCUCUCUCUCUCUCUGAGGGCUGGGGAACUGGGAGGAGCCCAAAGCUUGGGCUGGCCUGGGGCAUGGGGUGAGAGAG